rnacentral:rRNA from 1 species
GACGAACGCUGGCGGCGCGCUUAACACAUGCAAGUCGAACGGAAAGGCCUGCUUUCCCUCGUGGAUUGCGGGUACUCGAGUGGCGAACGGGUGAGUAACACGUGAGUGAUCUGCCCCCAACUUUGGUAUAAGCCUGGGAAACUGGGUCUAAUUCCCGAUAGGACUGCAGGGUGGUGCCUGUGGUGGAAAACGAUUUUCUAGUGGUUGGGGAUGAGCUCGCGGCCUAUCAGCUUGUUGGUGGGGUAAUGGCCUACCAAGGCGGCGACGGGUAGCCGGCCUGGGAGAGUGGACGGCCACAGUGGGACUGAGAUACGGGGAAGAAUCCUACGGGAGGAAGCAGUGGGGAAGAUGGCACAAGGGGCGGAAGCCUGAGGGAGCGACGCCGAGUGGGGGAUGACGGCCGUCGGGUUGUAAACUUCUGGUGACCGAGAGGAAGCGACCUGGUUGGAAGGGUGGUGACGGUAGUGGGAGAAGAAGCACCGGCUAACUACGUG